rnacentral:misc_RNA from 1 species
GAUGAAGAACGCAGCGAAAUGCGAUAAGUAAUGUGAAUUGCAGAAUUCAGUGAAUCAUCGAAUCUUUGAACGCACAUUGCGCCCGCCAGUAUUCUGGCGGGCAUGCCUGUUCGAGCGUCAUUACAACCCUCAGGCCCCCGGGCCUGGCGUUGGGGAUCGGCGGAAGCCCCCUGUGGGCACACGCCGUCCCUCAAAUACAGUGGCGGUCCCGCCGCAGCUUCCAUUGCGAAGUAGCUAACACCUCGCAACUGGAGAGCGGCGCGGCCAUGCCGUAAAACACCCAACUUCUGAAUGUUGACCUCGAAUCAGGUAGGAAUACCCGCUGAACUUAAGCAUAUCAAUAAGCGGAGGA